UCCGUAGGGGGCAAGCGUUGUCCGGAAUCAUUGGGCGUAAAGCGCGCGUAGGCGGCCCGGUAAGUCCGCUGUAAAAGUCCAGGGCUCAACCCUGGAACGCCGGUGGAUACUGUCGGGCUCGAGUCCGGAAGAGGCGAGUGGAAUUCCUGGUGUAGCGGUGGAAUGCGCAGAUAUCAGGAGGAACACCGAUGGCGAAGGCAGCUCGCUGGGACGGUACUGACGCUGAGGCGCGAAAGCGUGGGGAGCGAACAGG
rnacentral:rRNA from 1 species